GCACCCGUAAUUCAGCGGACAGAAAGCGACGCUUCGAACGUCGAGGUCGGGAGUUCGAAUCUCUCCGGGUGCGCCA
rnacentral:tRNA from 1 species